UGGCAAAAACUGUGAUUACUUUUGCACCAACCUAAUAU
rnacentral:miRNA from 13 species